rnacentral:rRNA from 1 species
ACUCCUACGGGAGGCAGCAGUGGGGAAUUUUGGACAAUGGGCGAAAGCCUGAUCCAGCAAUGCCGCGUGUGUGAAGAAGGCCUUCGGGUUGUAAAGCACUUUUGUCCGGAAAGAAAUCCUUGGCUCUAAUACAGUCGAGGGAUGACGGUACCGGAAGAAUAAGCACCGGCUAACUACGUGCCAGCAGCCGCGGUAAUACGUAGGGUGCGAGCGUUAAUCGGAAUUACUGGGCGUAAAGCGUGCGCAGGCGGUUUGCUAAGACCGAUGUGAAAUCCCCGGGCUCAACCUGGGAACUGCAUUGGUGACUGGCAGGCUAGAGUAUGGCAGAGGGGGGUAGAAUUCCACGUGUAGCAGUGAAAUGCGUAGAGAUGUGGAGGAAUACCGAUGGCGAAGGCAGCCCCCUGGGCCAAUACUGACGCUCAUGCACGAAAGCGUGGGGAGCAAACAGGAUUAGAAACCCGGGUAGUCCCAU